rnacentral:rRNA from 1 species
CCUACGGGAGGCAGCAGUGGGGAAUAUUGGACAAUGGGGGGAACCCUGAUCCAGCCAUGCCGCGUGUGUGAAGAAGGCCCUCGGGUUGUAAGGCACUUUCAGUGAGGAAGAACGCCUGGUGGUUAAUACCCAUCAGGAAAGACAUCACUCACAGAAGAAGCACCGGCUAACUCCGUGCCAGCAGCCGCGGUAAUACGGAGGGUGCGAGCGUUAAUCGGAAUUACUGGGCGUAAAGCGCGCGUAGGUGGCUUGAUAAGCCGGUUGUGAAAGCCCCGGGCUCAACCUGGGAACGGCAUCCGGAACUGUCAAGCUAGAGUGCAGGAGAGGAAGGUAGAAUUCCCGGUGUAGCGGUGAAAUGCGUAGAGAUCGGGAGGAAUACCAGUGGCGAAGGCGGCCUUCUGGACUGACACUGACACUGAGGUGCGAAAGCGUGGGUAGCAAACAGGAUUAGAUACCCCAGUAGUC